rnacentral:rRNA from 1 species
CCCUUAGAUGUUCUGGACCGCACGCGCGCUACAAUGAUGCAUUCAACGAGUUUCUUCCUGGUCCGAGAGGAAUGGGUAACCUUUUGAAAGUGCAUCGUGAUAGGGAUAGACUAUUGCAAUUAUUGGUCUUCAACGAGGAAUUCCUAGUAGACGUAGUUCAUCAGACUGCAUCGAUUACGUCCCUGCCCUUUGUACACACCGCCCGUCGCUCCUACCGAUUGAAUGCUCAGGUGAGCCAUUCGGACUUUCAUCAUGCUGGUUUCCAGUUUUGAUGAAGGAAAGCCUUGCGAACCUUAUCAUUUAGAGGAAGGAGAAGUCGUAACA